rnacentral:rRNA from 1 species
GGGGAUGACGUCAAGUCCUCAUCGGCCCUUAUGGGUAGGGCUUCACACGUCAUACAAUGGUCGGUACAGAGGGUUGCCAACCCGCGAGGGGGAGCUAAUCCCACAAAGCCGAUCGUAGUCCGGAUCGCAGUCUGCAACUCGACUGCGUGAAGUCGGAAUCGCUAGUAAUCGUGGAUCAGCAUGUCACGGUGAAUACGUUCCCGGGUCUU